UCUUAAAAUUUUGCUGAUGUGGCAUUAAUGACGUGGUAGUGAUGGUAAGUGAUGUGGCGUUGAAGUGAUAAGCUAAUGUGGCUAUCUGAUGUAGGUUGUUGCUGGGGCCAAAUCCAUUACUUGUAGGCUCACAAUAGAGCUGGGUGAGGUUGUUGGCUGUGGAAGCUGAUCCAAAUACUCGAUCCAUUGGUUUAAAGCUCUAGGGGCAUCAGACUAAAGUUCUGACAAUGCGAAGAGACAGAUUGGCUGACGGCGAGUUGUUGGGUUCUUUUGGUUUUUGAAUUUUUUUUUCAAUAGACAGUGAAAUAAUGCAGAAAUUAAAAGCAAACGGAAAAAAAAGGAAGGUGGCAUUUUUGGGGGAUGCGCGUUUGCUCUCUUUCUCGAAGGCUUGGGACAGAUUGAAAGUUUCAAGUUUUGCUAGGAACAAAUGACAAUAGGAUUCAAGGGCCAGUGGAGUUGAUUGAAGUUUAGCUCUAAUACCAAAAUUGACGUAGAACAAAAGGAAAGAAUCAAAAACAAAGAAAAUCAAGGACUAAUCAUUAAAGAAAAGAGAACUAAUUCUCAAGAUAUUAUUAAUCUUAUAGAAAUUGUCAUAAUAAAGAUUAUCUUAUAACAAUAGAAACCCUAGGUC
rnacentral:misc_RNA from 1 species